rnacentral:rRNA from 1 species
CAGCAGUGGGGAAUAUUGCACAAUGGGGGAAACCCUGAUGCAGCCAUGCCGCGUGUGUGAAGAAGGCCUUCGGGUUGUAAAGCACUUUCAGUAGGGAGGAAGGUAGUGUAGUUAACACCUGCAUUAUUUGACGUUACCUACAGAAGAAGCACCGGCUAACUCCGUGCCAGCAGCCGCGGUAAUACGGAGGGUGCGAGCGUUAAUCGGAAUUACUGGGACGUAAAGCGCAUGCAGGCGGCCUGUUAAGUCAGAUGUAGAAAAGGCCCGGGGACUUUAACCGUACGGUAAUUUGCUAUUUAGAAACUGGCAGGCUAGAGUCUUGUAGGGGGGUAGAAUUUCAGGUGUAGCGGUGAAAAUGCGUAGAGAUCUGAAGGAAUACCAGUGGCGAAGGCGGCCCCCUGGACAAAGACUGACGCUCAGAUGCGAAAGCGUGGGGAGCAAACAGGAUUAGAUACCCUGGUAG